AUGACUAGUGAUAGUGACCACUACAAGGAAAUGGGUGAAGCAAUGUUGGAGAAGUUUGACAAAUAUUGGGAAGAAAAGAACAAUGCCAUGGUGAUCGCAACCGUCUUUGAUCCACGGUACAAGAUGAAUUACAUAGAGUGGGCCUUUGGAGAACUAUAUGGAGUAGGAAGUACGAGAUGUAGGACUGAGAUGAAAAUCGUGGAGAAAGAAUUGGCGACCUUGUAUGACAAAUGUGUUUCCCAAGAUAAGCGAGCUGGAAAUGGAGAAAGUGUAUCUUCCUCUACAAACAUUCCUAGUAUCCCGGUUCAAGCUGGGUAUGAGUCCUUCUUAUCGUCCCGUUCAACAAGAAUAUCAAAGAGUGAGUUGAGGAACUGCUUAGAGGAUGCGGUUGAACCUCGCAACAAGGCUCUUUAUCUUCUUGGUUGGUGGAAAGUCAAUACUCCUAGGUACCCAAUUAUGGCCAAGAUAGCCAGGAGGUUCCUUACUAUCCCGGCUACCUCCGUGUCUUCAGAAUCUACCUUGAGCACGACCGGAAGGAUUUUAGAUGACUACAGGAGUUCGUUAAAACCGGUUAUGGUGGAGGCAUUAGUUUGUGGUGCAAGUUAUAUCAAGGGUGCUCACGUUGACUUGAAUCUGGUGCCGAGGGAUGAGAAUGAAGAGGAUGAUGUUGAAACCAUCAAGUUACCCAUCGUGGAGGAGAUCAACGAUUGGUAA
rnacentral:rRNA from 1 species